AUUGAACGCUGGCGGCAUGCCUUACACAUGCAAGUCGAACGGCAUCGCGGGAAAGCUUGCUUUCCUGGCGGCGAGUGGCGAACGGGUGAGUAACACAUCGGAACGUACCGGCUAGUGGGGGAUAACCCGUCGAAAGACGGGCUAAUACCGCAUACGCUCUUCGGAGGAAAGCCGGGGACCUUUGGGCCUUGCGCUAGUCGAGCGGCCGAUGUCCGAUUAGCUAGUUGGUGGGGUAAAGGCCUACCAAGGCGACGAUCGGUAGCGGGUCUGAGAGGACGAUCCGCCACACUGGGACUGAGACACGGCCCAGACUCCUACGGGAGGCAGCAGUGGGGAAUCUUGGACAAUGGGGGCAACCCUGAUCCAGCAAUGCCGCGUGGGUGAAGAAGGCCUUCGGGUUGUAAAGCCCUUUCGGCAGGGAAGAAAUCGGCGGGGCGAAUAACCCUGCUGGAUGACGGUACCUGCAGAAGAAGCACCGGCUAACUACGUG
rnacentral:rRNA from 1 species